rnacentral:lncRNA from 1 species
CGAAGAGACAAGUCGCAAAACCAGUCGCCGAAAAGAGUACAAAUUUGGUGGUGCCCUUCUUUAAACCAUUUCUUUCUGCUUUUUCUCUCAUCCAUGGAAAUUCAAGCAUUUUCUUCCUCUUCCUCUUCCUCUUCCUCUUCUUCCUGUUGAUAACAAGAAACCCUUGCAACUCGAAACAUGCUUCUUUUACCUCAGAGAAGACUGUUUCUGAACACGAAUUCUCACUACAACAGAGCAAUUUUGAUGGGCUCCAAACACUUGCUCCUUCUUACGUCUACACUCACGCCGGUAACGCAUACAAGUAAAGAUGCGGCCCAUUUUUCUUCAACUUCGCAACCUCGGUUAUUUUUUAUUCACAGGAAAAAUAUAGCAUUUUCUACAUCUUCGAAAACCAUAUCUCC